rnacentral:misc_RNA from 1 species
GAAUAUAUGCCAGCCUAGUUGACACAGUAUUCAGCAUGGGUGGGAGGUGCCAUUCUUGCAAAAGUUGUGUUCCCUCAAAAUCAGCAUGUUACCAAGGGGGAUUAUGAUGAAGCUGGACCAUCUGUUGUUCAUCGGAAAUGCUUCUGAUACUUUUUUCAUAAGUGAGUUGUUAUUACUAUUUUUUUUUUUGUCUAUUUCUACUUGUAUUAUAAUAGGUGGUUAUCAUGGAACAUAACCAUAGAUUGACUAAAUUGUCAACUCAGGGAAAAAGAAAAUUUGCCAAACUGCUGUGAUGUAUGUUAGUGUAGCCUUGUAGGGAACCAUUUAGCUGUAACCUUUUAGCCUAUGGUCUUUUGUCCUUGUUCAUCUCUAUAUAAAGUUUUCAGUUUGUUGUUCAAAAAAAA